AGUGAUCAAUUCUAUGAGUUAAUUAAAGAGACAAAUAUAACAACAUCAAUAUACUUAAGAGACAUUUAAAAAUUAACAACUAUUAUCUUUGGAAGAAUUUCUUACAACUAGUUGCAAAAAUAAAAUUUGAUUGAAUAGAAGAGAGCAUGAUCUUUAACAUUAUAAAAUCAUGAUCAAACAAUUAGUUGUUUAAUUACAUGCAAACGAGAAAAAAUAUGACCAAGUUUUUCAAAUUUGUUAACGUUAUGAUCCUUAUUUUUUCCCUAUUUCUUGCUGUAUGCAAUGCAAAUUCUUGGUCUCUACUACCACCGCCUAUUGUUUGUUAUACUAUCAAACAUUGUCCAAAAGAUUUUUGCACCUACCCUAAAGUUACAAAGUGCAAGUGGUUCUUUUGUAAAUGCCUAUGAUGACUAUUACAUGGAGGCCACCACCUUUUGUUUGUUAUACUACCAAAGAUUGUCCAGAAGAUUAUUGCUCCCACCCUAAAGUUGUGAUGUGCAAGCGGUUUAUUUGUAAAUGCAUAUGAAUAAUAAGAAAAUAGUACAAAUAAUAAGAUUGUCCAGAAGAUUAUUGCUCCCACCCUAAGGAAUUUGAUUAUACUCUCUGUCCUUUUUAUUUUAUUUUUUAUGUUUUUUUACAUUCUAUAAUAGUACAAAUAAUAAGAAAAUAUCUUAUAAUUUU